AUGGACUUUUGGAAUCUAGCAAUCAGAAUCAUUUUCUUAUCAUAAACUACCACUGGAACUCUGAAAAGUUCCUGUCUUAUGUUCUACUAUAGAGUCCUUUACUAUAGAGAAUAUAUAUUAAAACACACAGAUUUGAUACUAAUGCACCAAAUGCCAGGCAAUGUCUUGAUCAUUCUCUCUACAGAAGUUCCCCAAAAAAUGGCAGUUUGGGUAUUGAAGCACUUCUUGAGGGAUAUUGGUUGUAAGCUCCUACUGUUCAUUCAAGGUUCUAUGGGGAGUGUGUCCACUGGCACAACAUGACUCUUGCAAGGCAAUGACCACCAAUCACAGGAAAUCCUGUCGGAUGUAUCAAAAAGUCAAAGCUGAGAAGUACACUGGCUAUUGCAUUUCCCUCCUCUGGGUCCUCUACAUGUUAAUCAAUUUCAUUUUCUUUCUCUAUACAUUCAUCAAAAGAAUAGCAGAAAUGUGACAAGAAAACAAGAUUUUGGAUACUGCUCUACUAUAGGUUGUAAUGACAUUAGUGACUUGUUCUAUGCAGGAUUGGUGGUGUGUCCUGAAGUCCUUUUUCUUUUGCUCAUUGAUUGGUGUUCUCUACAGACACGGGCAUAGGGUACAACACAUGUACAGCUCUCAUGAUUCCACCUGAAAUAUCCUCAUGCUAAGUAUACCUCUCUGGCUUUUUAUCCUCUCUCCUCCAUCUUACACGACUGCCUUAAUCUUUUGUAUCAUCACUCAGUGGCUAGUGAACAUCAAUCAUCUCAUUUUUUUCUGUGCUUUCCAUCUUUUGGACCCUUUGUUUUAUGUAUCUUUACUUCAUUAUUCCCAGAUUCAGUUUGGUUUGUUAUGAGUAAGAACUCAUAAU
rnacentral:lncRNA from 1 species